UACGUAGGUGGCAAGCGUUAUCCGGAUUUAUUGGGCGUAAAGGGAACGCAGGCGGUCUUUUAAGUCUGAUGUGAAAGCCUUCGGCUUAAUCGGAGUAGUGCAUUGGAAACUGGGAGACUUGAGUGCAGAAGAGGAGAGUGGAACUCCAUGUGUAGCGGUGAAAUGCGUAGAUAUAUGGAAGAACACCAGUGGCGAAAGCGGCUCUCUGGUCUGUAACUGACGCUGAGGUUCGAAAGCGUGGGUAGCAAACAGG
rnacentral:rRNA from 1 species